GACGAACGCUGGCGGUGUGCUUAACACAUGCAAGUCGAACGGUAAGGCCCUUUCGGGGGUCCACGAGUGGCGAACGGGUGAGUAACACGUGAGUAACCUGCCCUCAUCUCUGGGAUAACAGUCGGAAACGGUUGCUAAUACUGGAUAUGAGCUUGCAAGGCAUCUUGUGGGUUGGAAAGAUUUUUUUUGGUUGGGGAUGGACUCGCGGCCUAUCAGCUUGUUGGUGAGGUAGUGGCUCACCAAGGCUUCGACGGGUAGCCGGCCUGAGAGGGCGACCGGCCACAUUGGGACUGAGAUACGGCCCAAACUCCUACGGGAGGCAGCAGGGGGGAAUAUUGCACAAUGGACGGAAGUCUGAUGCAGCAACGCCGCGUGCGGGAUGACGGCCUUCGGGUUGUAAACCGCUUUCAAUUGUGACGAAGCUUUUUUGUGACGGUAGCAGUAGAAGAAGCACCGGCUAACUACGUG
rnacentral:rRNA from 1 species